rnacentral:rRNA from 1 species
UACAGAGGGUGCAAGCGUUAAUCGGAAUUACUGGGCGUAAAGCGUGCGUAGGUGGGCUGAUGUGUUGGCUGUGAAAUCCCCGAGCUUAACUUGGGAAAGCCAGCCAAAACUGUCAGUCUAGAGUAUAGUAGAGGAAAGUGGAAUUUCCGGUGUAGCGGUGAAAUGCGUAGAUAUCGGAAGGAACAUCAGUGGCGAAGGCGACUUUCUGGACUAAUACUGACACUGAGGCACGAAAGCGUGGGGAGCAAACAGG